CACGUAGGGAGCAAGCGUUGUCCGGAUUUAUUGGGCGUAAAGAGCUCGUAGGUGGUUCGGUAAGUCAGGUGUGAAACCUCCAGGCUACACCGUGGAGACGCCACUUGAUACUGCUGUGACUGGAGUCCGGUAGGGGAGCGUGGAAUUCCUGGUGUAGCGGUGAAAUGCGCAGAUAUCAGGAGGAACACCAGCGGCGAAGGCGGCGCUCUGGGCCGGUACUGACACUGAGGAGCGAAAGCGUGGGUAGCAAACAGG
rnacentral:rRNA from 1 species